AUUGAACGCUGGCGGCAGGCCUAACACAUGCAAGUCGAGCGGAUGAAGGGAGCUUGCUCCUGGAUUCAGCGGCGGACGGGUGAGUAAUGCCUAGGAAUCUGCCUGGUAGUGGGGGAUAACGUCCGGAAACGGGCGCUAAUACCGCAUACGUCCUGAGGGAGAAAGUGGGGGAUCUUCGGACCUCACGCUAUCAGAUGAGCCUAGGUCGGAUUAGCUAGUUGGUGGGGUAAAGGCCUACCAAGGCGACGAUCCGUAACUGGUCUGAGAGGAUAAUCAGUCACACUGGAACUGAGACACGGUACAGACUCCUACGGGAGGCAGCAGUGGGGAAUAUUGGACAAUGGGCGGAAACCUGAUCCAGCCAUGCCGCGUGUGUGAAGAAGGUCUUCGGAUUGUAAAGCACUUUAAGUUGGGAGGAAGAGCAGUAAGUUAAUACCUUGCUGUUUUGACGUUACCAACAGAAGAAGCACCGGCUAACUUCGUG
rnacentral:rRNA from 1 species